rnacentral:tRNA from 1 species
AGGCCCGUAGCUCAGCCGGUGAGAGCGCCGGUCUUAUAAGCCGGAGGUCGCGGGUUCAAGUCCCGCCGGGCCUA